UACGUAGGGGGCGAGCGUUGUCCGGAAUCAUUGGCGUAAAGCGCGUGUAGGCGGCCCGGUAAGUCCGCUGUGAAAGUCCAGGGCUCAACCCUGGGAUGCCGGUGGAUACUGUCGGGCUAGAGUCCGGGAAGAGGGAGUGUGGAAUCCUGGUGUAGCGGUGAAAUGCGCAGAUAUCAGGAGGAACACCAAUGGCGAAGGCAGCACUCUGGGACGUGACUGACGCUGAGACGCGAAAGCGUGGGGGAGCAAAAACAGG
rnacentral:rRNA from 1 species